rnacentral:rRNA from 1 species
CAGCCGCCGCGGUAAUACGUAGGUGGCAAGCGUUGUCCGGAAUUAUUGGGCGUAAAGAGCUCGCAGGCGGUUUCUUAAGUCUGAUGUGAAAGCCCCCGGCUCAACCGGGGAGGGUCAUUGGAAACUGGGAAACUUGAGUGCAGAAGAGGAGAGUGGAAUUCCACGUGUAGCGGUGAAACGCGUAGAGAUGUGGAGGAACACCAGUGGCGAAGGCGACUCUCUGGUCUGUAACUGACGCUGAGGAGCGAAAGCGUGGGGAGCGAACAGGAUUAGAUACCCCUGUAGUCCCUGUCUCUUAUAC